UACGUAGGGUGCGAGCGUUGUCCGGAAUUAUUGGGCGUAAAGAGCUCGUAGGCGGUCCGUUACGUCGGGAGUGAAAACUCGGAGCUCAACUCCGAGCCUGCGUUCGAGACUGGAUGGCUAGAGUCUGGUAGGGGGAUCUGGAAUUCCUGGUGUAGCGGUGAAAUGCGUAGAUAUCGGAAGGAACAUCAGUGGCGAAAGCGACUUCCUGGACCAAUACUGACGCUCAUGUGCGAAAGCGUGGGGAGCAAACAGG
rnacentral:rRNA from 1 species